rnacentral:sRNA from 1 species
UAUCAGAACUAUUUUUGUAUUCUUUAAUUUAAUAAUAUGAAUUAUGAAUUAGUAUAAAAUAUCAAAACUAAUACAGAAGUUGAUUGAAAAUACAAUAAAAUAAAUUAAACAUUGAUAACAUAAUUAAAAAAUUAAAACCACAAAAACAUAAAAACUAAAUGCAACAAGAUAGGUUUUAAAAACAUAACAAAAACUUGAGAAAUGGCUACGGAAAAUUGUUUCCGGUUCCGCUAAGAUAAUUAUAAUAUUGGGUAAAAUCUUCUCGGUUAUUUGGUGAUCUUUGGUUUUCACCUUGAUCCGGUUCUUCUUGAAUUUGUUUUCCAUCAGAUUGACUUUUUUGAUAAUGAGAUGCUCGAUAUUGGGAUUCUUCACCAUCUUCUUCAUGUUGAUUUGUUUGUGCUCUUUGUUCCAAAAUUCUUUUUCUCUCAUUUUCAAUAUAUGCACGAGAGGAUGGAUCACUUAUGAAUUCAAAUCUGCAAAUAAUAUUUUAUUCUCUUCUUUCGUUCUAGCUACCUCGAUCUUCUGGCUUUGAAUUUUAUUUCUUUCAGAAGUACCUUUAGUAAUAGCUUUGAUAAGUUUAUCAUUUUGUUCCAAAAGUUGUUUAACAGUUCUUCAGAUUGUUGUUUUCGCUUUGCUUUUUUUCAAACCCAUAGGCCUUGAAGAUAAACUAAAAUUGGCAUCUUCACUAUCCAUAUUUAGAUCAAUUGAAUUCAUACCAGGGAAAGAUGAUGACUCGGUAUUGAUUGAAAAUGAUGAAGAUGACGUAACAUUUCGACCUUCUCCUUGGAAUGCAGCAGGUGUCUUCAUGUUAUCAUUAGCAUUUCUCAAUACCUUUAAGAAUAGGCCAUACAUGAUCAAAUUUGAAUCCUCUCUUGUAUUUUUCAUAUUGAGUUAAUAACAACUUGACAAUAAACAAAUAAAAAUAAGUUAGUAUGUACAAAUAAUUUAAUAAAGAUAAGUUAGUAAACGCAAUAAUUUAUAAUUGAGUACUUACAAUGUCUUCUUCGGAAGCACUGCUAGGAUCUUUAUACUCAAUUUGGUUAACACAUCCUCUCAGCUUUGAGACUGUAGAAAGAAUUGACGUCAUUCGAGUUUGUAAAGAUCUUUUUGGUCUUCGUUGAAGACGAAAAUGAUCGGAUUUAUGAUACUCGGCUUCAACUCUUGUCCAUAGUUGAUCUCCUGAUUGGUUUAUUCUUAUUAUUGAAUUUUGGGAAACAUCAAGAUACACAUGACACAAUUGUAUAUCUUCUUGAAUAGAAUAUGACAAAGAGCGACUUGAACUCAUUUUUGAAAAA